rnacentral:rRNA from 1 species
CCUUCGGAACACGAUACCCUCGUGAAACUGAGGCUAAUAGUGUAUACCAUACCACCACUGGAAUGAGUGGUAUGCCUAACGCCCCGGCGCCGAAUGAUGUGGCUGCGGCCGAUUAGGUAUACGGUGGGGUAACGGCCCACCGUGCCAAUAAUCGGUACGGGUCAUGAUAGUGAGAACCCGGAGACGGAAUCUGAGACAAUAUUCCGGGCCCUACGGGGCGCAUCAGGCGCGAAACCUUUACACUGCACGACAGUGCGAUAGGGGGAUCCCAAGUGCACAUGCAUAGCGCCUGUGCUUUUCGGUACUGUAAGGUGGUACCAGAAUAAGGGCUGGGCAAGACCGGUGCCAGCCGCCGCGGUAAUACCGGCAGCCCGAGUGAUGGCCGAUCUUAUUGGGCCUAAAGCGUCCGUAGCUGGCCACGCAAGUCCAUCGGGAAAUCCACCUGCUCAACAGGUGGGCGCCCGGUAUAAACUGCGUGGCUUGGGACCGGAAGGCGCGACGGGUACGUCCGGGGUAGGAGUGAAAUCCCGUAAUCCUGGACGGACCGCCGAUGGCGAAAGCACGUCGCGAGAACGGAUCCGACAGUGAGGGACGAAAGCCAGGGUCUCGAACCGGAUUAGAUACCCGGGUAGUCCUGGCCGUAAACAAUGUCUGCUAGGUGUGGCUCCCACUACGAGUGGGUGCUGUGCCGUAUGGAAGCCGCUAAGCAGACCGCCUGGGAAGUACGUCCGCAAGGAUGAAACUUAAAGG